rnacentral:rRNA from 1 species
CAGUAGCCGCGGUAAUACGUAGGGUGCGAGCGUUAAUCGGAAUUACUGGGCGUAAAGCGUGCGCAGGCGGUUCGUUAAGACAGAUGUGAAAUCCCCGGGCUUAACCUGGGAACUGCAUUUGUGACUGGCGAGCUAGAGUAUGGCAGAGGGGGGUAGAAUUCCACGUGUAGCAGUGAAAUGCGUAGAGAUGUGGAGGAAUACCGAUGGCGAAGGCAGCCCCCUGGGCCAAUACUGACGCUCAUGCACGAAAGCGUGGGGAGCAAACAGGAUUAGAUACCCGCGUAGUCCUGUCUCUUAUACC